rnacentral:rRNA from 1 species
GAUGAACGCUGGCGGCGUGCCUAAUACAUGCAAGUCGAGCGAGCAGAUGAGGAGCUUGCUCCUCUGACGUUAGCGGCGGACGGGUGAGUAACACGUGGAUAACCUACCUAUAAGACUGGGAUAACUUCGGGAAACCGGAGCUAAUACCGGAUAAUAUAUUGAACCGCAUGGUUCAAUAUUGAAAGACGGUUUUGCUGUCACUUAUAGAUGGAUCCGCGCCGCAUUAGCUAGUUGGUAAGGUAACGGCUUACCAAGGCAACGAUGCGUAGCCGACCUGAGAGGGUGAUCGGCCACACUGGAACUGAGACACGGUCCAGACUCCUACGGGAGGCAGCAGUAGGGAAUCUUCCGCAAUGGGCGAAAGCCUGACGGAGCAACGCCGCGUGAGUGAUGAAGGUCUUCGGAUCGUAAAACUCUGUUAUUAGGGAAGAACAAAUGUGUAAGUAACUAUGCACGUCUUGACGGUACCUAAUCAGAAAGCCACGGCUAACUACGUG